rnacentral:rRNA from 1 species
GGUUGACCUCGGAUCAGGUAGGGAUACCCGCUGAACUUAAGCAUAUCAAUAAGCGGAGGAAAAGAAACCAACAGGGAUUGCCCUAGUAACGGCGAGUGAAGCGGCAAGAGCUCAAAUUUGAAAGCUGGCCCCCUCGGGGCCCGCAUUGUAAUUUGCAGAGGAUGCUUCGGGCGUGGCCCCUGUCUAAGUGCCCUGGAACGGGCCGUCAGAGAGGGUGAGAAUCCCGUAUGGGAUGGGGUGCCCACGCCCGUGUGAAGCUCCUUCGACGAGUCGAGUUGUUUGGGAAUGCAGCUCUAAAUGGGUGGUAAAUUUCAUCUAAAGCUAAAUAUUGGCCGGAGACCGAUAGCGCACAAGUAGAGUGAUCGAAAGAUGAAAAGCACUUUGAAAAGAGAGUUAAAAAGCACGUGAAAUUGUUGAAAGGGAAGCGCUUGCGACCAGACUCGCCCCAGGGGUUCAACCGGCUUUCGGGCCGGUGUACUUCCCCCGGGGCGGGCCAGCGUCGGUUUUGGCGGCCGGUCAAAGGCCCCUGGAAUGUAACGCCUCUCGGGGCGUCUUAUAGCCAGGGGUGCCAUGCGGCCCGCCGGGACCGAGGAACGCGCUUCGGCUCGGACGCUGGCAUAAUGGUCGUAAGCGACC